GUUUAGGUAAACGCUGUGGUUGGACGUCAUCAUUAUAACUCAUUGUGUUAUAACUUCUAGUUCGGAGAAAGAUAUAUAUGUCUCGAGUCUUGGUAACAUAAAGUAUUACAAAGUAAAGGUAAAUGUACGAUUUCAUUUCUACGUACCAUUUAUUGGCGGAUGUGACAAGUUAAGUGACGAUACGAUACGUCACACGCUAGAAUUAGUAUUUAUUAGGGAAUACGUGUAAUGCAUAAGCUCAAGUUACAAAACAUGCAUACAAAGUUCGAAGUUGUGCAAGUUUGUGGUGAAUAGUACCAGUUCUAAAAGCAAAUAAAGUUAAGUAUAUAUUACUGAGCAUAGUUGCAAGGCUGUCUACGAAUCUCAGUCAGAGUGAACUUAAGUUUUUUGUUUAUUAUUUUUGUCGAAUCUACUUCUAUAACUACUAUUACUAACUUAUUCAAGAUGGGGAUUCAGCCCGAAGUUGUUUCAGAUCUAACAUCUGAAGAGCGACAGCUGUUGACUGAGAUUCGACGUCGCAAAACAGAACUAAUUUUAGAAAUCCAGCAACUGAAAGAUGAGAUUGCUGAAGUUGCUGAGAAAAUGGAGAGAAUGGAAAUACAGGAUGAAGG